AGAGUCUGAAUUUGUCUUUUAUGAUGAGAAUAAGAAUCUUGUUAAAGUGAAAGUCAAGGAUAGUCUUGAUGAAAGAAAGCUUGGUUACGGUUAUCAAAAGGUUGAUAUUCCUUGGAUAAAUUCUAAACCUAAACCUGCUAGUAGAAGAGUUCAGUCUAAGGAUAAGAAUAAGUUAUUAGAACAACGUCCUUCGAGAAAAUUUGUUGAUAAGUUUCCUAUUGUUUUGGAUUCGGUUGUGAGUACUAUUGUGAAGAGGCCAAAGAAGUCGAGGAGUUCGAAGGAGAAGGAAGAUGAAGAGGAAAUUUUGGUCAUAGCUGGGAUCGAGUUUGAUGACAAUAUUGAAGUGAAGUUUGAUGUUAUUGUGAAUGAUGAAGAUGAUAAGGUGAUUGGAGCUGAAAAUACCGAGUUUGCUGGAACCUUUGUGAGUUUGCUUCAUGCACAUAAUCACGAAAACAAUAAGAAGAAUAGGAAUAUUGUUACUUGUUUGAGACUUGGAUUAACGGAUUUGUUGGAGGGUUUGAAAGCUGAUGAUGAUGAUAGUAUUAUGGUUACAUUGAUUCCUAGAUAUGGUGAUGGUGUCAAAAUUAGUGGCAUCAAGAUAGAGUUUGAAUCUUGAAAAAAUUGCAACCAACGAAGAACCGUGUUUGUCAUUUAGUUCAUAGAGUUUCCUUUUUCUUAUUUUGUUUUCUUGUCAAAUAAAUGGUGCAAUUCCAUCCUCAAGUUGGUGAUUGGUGCAAAUGAGGAAAUAUUGUUUUUUAUGAGCAAAUGAGGAAAUAUUGUUAUAUAACGAUCGAUGAUCCUUCCUUCAAAAAACAAAAAAAACGAUCGAUGAUCCAUUUGUUAAAUUGGACCAAUACCCAAUAUUUUGUUAAACUGGACCAAUUGGAUGGUUAAUCCUCAAAACAAAAAUUAUAUCUGUAAUAUUGACACCCUAAACUUUCCAACGAGAGGUCGUUUACUCAAAACGGAUAUCGUUGGUAAUUUGAUUAAACUGUGAAAGUUAAGGUGUUGUUGUUGCUAUGUUUGUGCAGAAAUACUGUUUUUGUACGAAUACCCAAUCUUUUGUUAAACUGGACCAUUUGAAUGGUUAACCC
rnacentral:lncRNA from 1 species